UACGUAGGGGGCGAGCGUUAUCCGGAUUUAUUGGGUUUAAAGGGUGCGUAGGCGGGAUGCCAAGUCAGCGGUAAAAAUGCGGUGCUCAACGCCGUCGAGCCGUUGAAACUGGCGUUCUUGAGUGGGCGAGAAGUAUGCGGAAUGCGUGGUGUAGCGGUGAAAUGCAUAGAUAUCACGCAGAACUCCGAUUGCGAAGGCAGCAUACCGGCGCCCUACUGACGCUGAGGCACGAAAGCGUGGGGAGCAAACAGG
rnacentral:rRNA from 1 species